GUCAGUUGCUUUGUGUUUGUGUGCGAGUCGAGAUCUGCUUCAGUCGAAAAUUUCUUUUGUCGCGAAAUCCUCGUCUUUUGUGCGAUAAAAUGUGAAAAAUGUCCUCAAAAUUGUGACCCAGGGGACAAUGUAACAAAGUGACUUUGUGCGGAAGCUGCAGAAAUCAACUUUGCAAAAAAAAAAAACGAAAUAUUAAUUGAAUUUAGCAACAAAACGAAGAAAGUCAAUUGCAGAAAAGUUGUUGGGAGACGAAGAGACGCGCAACGCGAUGGAUAAUGAGAAUGCAAAGUUGGCUGCAGAAAUGUUUGAUCAUUUCUGCAGUGUCACAACAAUGCGCCAGAUUAUGGGGCUCUAUCGGAAUAUGAUGGAUGCCGUGGGUCUACGUCCGGGUCCACUGAAUGACUUCUACCCCAAACUCAAGGCGAAAAUACGCAAUUGGAAGGCACAGGCGCUGUGGAAGAAAUUCGACACAAGAGCCGGCCAUCGGGUGUACAACAAAGGUACAGCGUGCAAUGGGAUUCGGGUGCUUGUUAUUGGGGCGGGUCCCUGUGGUCUCCGGACGGCAAUUGAGGCUCAACUUUUGGGAGCUAAAGUGGUGGUUGUGGAGAAACGCGACAGAAUAUCUCGCAACAAUGUGCUUCAUUUGUGGCCUUUUGUCAUAACGGAUUUGAGAAAUUUGGGCGCUAAGAAGUUCUACGGGAAAUUCUGUGCUGGCUCCAUUGAUCACAUUUCCAUCAGGCAACUGCAGUGUAUUCUACUGAAGGUGGCUCUCCUGUUGGGUGUUGAAGUGCACGAAGGAGUGUCAUUUGUUAAGCUAAUCGAGCCAAAAGAUGGUUGUGGCUGGCGCGCCCAAGUGAGCCCAGAAGACCAUGCUGUCUCACACUAUGAAUUCGAUGCACUUAUUGGAGCGGAUGGCAAGCGCAAUACACUCGAGGGUUUCGUCCGGAAGGAAUUUCGUGGAAAAUUAGCAAUUGCUAUUACGGCAAAUUUCAUCAAUAAACGAACUGAGGCGGAAGCUAAAGUGGAAGAAAUCAGUGGAGUGGCCUUUAUAUUCAAUCAAUCCUUCUUCAAGGAAUUGUACUAUCGAACUGGUAUUGAUUUGGAGAAUAUUGUUUACUACAAAGAUGAGACACACUACUUUGUGAUGACAGCAAAGAAAAUGAGUCUCAUUGAUAAGGGUGUUAUAAUACAGGAUUCAGCUGAUCCAGCUGAACUCUUGUCCCCGUCGAAUGUUAACACGGACAAAUUGUUGGAUUAUGCACGCGAAGCUGCGGAAUUUUCAACAAAAUAUCAAAUGCCUAAUUUGGAAUUUGCAGUGAAUCACUACGGGAAGCCCGAUGUGGCAAUGUUUGAUUUUACAUCAAUGUUCCAAGCUGAGAAUUCUAGUCGGGUUUGCGUGCGGAAGAAUUAUCGACUGCUACAGUGUCUUGUGGGUGAUAGUCUCCUUGAGCCAUUCUGGCCAACGGGAUCGGGCUGUGCACGUGGCUUCCUAUCCAGCAUGGAUGCAGCCUAUGCAAUAAAGCUUUUUGCAAAUCCACGCAAUAGUUGCCUAGCUGUUCUAGCACAGCGAGAGAGUUUGUACCGAUUGCUGGGGCAGACGACUCCGGAAAAUCUCAAUAGAGACAUUAUGGCCUACACAUUGGACCCAUCGACGCGAUAUCCAAAUCUCAAUAAGACCCUGGUGCAGGUGCAACAGGUGGAGAUGCUCCUCGAUGCGGACGAUGAGACGAUCUAUCAGCAAACUUUCAUGGAUACAAAUGCCAUUUCAGCCGUACCAGAUGCUCCGGUGCGAAGGAAGCGAAGAACUGGAGACACCACACCACUUGGGAUGGUUCUGCUGCGAUGGAUAAAGUCCCAAUUGAAAGCGUAUGAAUUUGCAAAUAAUCUAACAGAAGUUGCACAAUGUUUUACCCAUGGGAGAGUUCUCUGUGCACUAAUUCAUCGAUAUCGUCCGGAAUUGUUGGAUUUCUCCACACUUGGAGAUCUCCCAGCUGAACAAUGCAAUGCCAAAGCCUUUGAUAUUCUUGAGAAUGAUUUGGGAAUACCACGAGUUAUGCAAGCCAGUGAAUCGGUUAACAUUGAGAAGAUUGAAUCGAAACUCUGGCUAAACUACCUGGAACAAAUCUGUGAGCUCUUCCGCGGGGAAAUUCCUCAUGUUAAGCAUCCAAAAUUGGACUUUGCUGAGUUGAAGGAGAAGCAACGAAGCAAUAUUCCGGACUUUUCGAAUUUGGUAAAGUCUUCGGGGAAACGGAAUGUGGUUGAGGUUGAAGCAAUUAAUCGACGAAUUACAUUGGAUGAGGAACGGAAUAAGAAUCGAUCAAGACGAUUGAAUUACGAACAGAUGCAAGCUGUACAAGCCGCAGAAGGUUCCCGGAGGGCAAAGAAGAGACGAAGUCAUGAGAAAUUUGCGAAUGUGGAAGAACAGAAGAAGCGUCUGCAAGAUAUACAAAAUAAUCGAAUGGAACGUCAGAGUAAGAGACGAUUGGAACGUGCUCGGCAGACUGAAAAUUUCUACAAGAGCUUACAUAUGCUACAAUUUAAUAGUUUCCUCCGUGAUACCGAUAGUUCAACACCAUUUGAAGACUACUCCCUCUAUGUCUAUCGCCAACAAGCUCCAGACUUUAAUGAUCGCGUUAAAGAUCUGGAGAGGAAGUUACUUUAUCCCGACCGGGAGAGAGGUUUCUACUCUGCUCUCGCAAGGGGAGCUCCUGAUGAGAAGUUCAGUAAUCGCAUCAAGUCGAUGGAAUCGAAAAUUGUCGGGAAGAAUGCGGGACUUGGGGACAAGAAGCCAAAAGAUCUACUUCGUGCCAUUGGGAAGAUUGAGAGUGAUGAUUGGAAUGUGCGGGAGAUUGAGAAGAAGAUUGAGCAAUCGAAGAAAGCCGAAGUGGGAAAAUCCCGGGAGAAGGUACCCAAGUGGAGUCGUGAGCAAUUCCUGGCGCGUCAGAGUAAGAUGUCCAAGCCAAUUGAUCGGCAGUCGUCGAUUGAUGAGAAAUUCAAGGAGAUCGACAUGACGAUCAAGUCACUCGAUAAGCAACUCAAGGAGGGUCACAACUUGGACAGAGGUGAGCGUGGGAGGAAUAAAGUGGCAUCAAUUGCAGGGCAAUUUGUGAAGAAAACUCCCGGAACGUCGGCGGAAGAGAAGCAAGGCUCGAAGUCGUUGAUGAAUUCCAAACUGGGGCUGGUGCUCACGUCUCAGGGAGUUUCGGAGAUUUGUCACUUUUGCAAGCAGAAAGUGUACCUCAUGGAGAAAAUUGCGGCAGAGGGAUUGGUGCUACAUAGAUCCUGCCUCAAGUGCCACCAUUGCCACACAAAUCUCCGACUUGGUGGCUAUGCCUUCGAUCGUGACAGCCCGGAUGGGCUCUUCUACUGCAAUCAGCACUUUAAAUUGCCACCAAAACCAUACAAACCCGUCACCAAGAGGCAGCCUUCACAUCCGAAACAUGAGGAAAUUGCGGCAAAAACUUCCCGGAUUUCCCCUGAAAAGGUGUCACGGGCGGAAAAUAUUGUGGCCAUGGAUUUACUGGAUCGCGGUCAGACACCCGAACGGAUUGAAUUUGAGAAUACCGACGCAAUGUCUGACGGUGAACGUUCUCUCAAUAAUAUAAUUGAUGAGAAUGAAUGGACAGAUAGGAACUUUGGCACGGGAACAGAUGAAACGGAUUCGGAUCUCUCAAGUUCGGAUUCAUCAGACUCAGAAACGGACUCUGAUAUGUACGAAGAGGCAAAUGAUUCGCCAAUUGGGGCGGAAACACUGCAAUUGGCAACGGAUUGGAUUGGAAAGCAGAGGAUAUGUUCCCUUCAGGAUAGCGAUGGGGAUGAAUUCUAUGAUUCCAGUGAGGAUGAUGAUGUGGAUACGCAAACGGAAGGGGAGGAAUUGGCAAGAGCACGGGAGAUUCGUAUGCAGGAGGUGAAACUCAUGCCACCCGUUUAUCCAGCAACAGACACCGAAACUGAGGUUCAAUCGGAUUCAGAGUCCUCAUCGGUGGAAAUUGAACCAAAUUCAGCCACAGAAAUUUCCACAGAUUCCGAAUUUGAUCACGAUCCAAUUGCAAAGACUCCGCCACAGAUUGUAAUUGAUGAUACGUACAUAAAGCGACCAACACGGGUGCACAUAAGGCAGGGAAUGAUUGCAAAUGGGCUGAAUAGGCAGGUGGCGAAGGAGAACACCGCGGAGAGCAAAGUGAGUGAUUUGAGUAAGAUUGAAUUGGAUAUAAAGCCACUAGUUCAGGUGGAUCCAUCCGUACUGGCGAGCACUAAUCGCAUCCCAUUGAAGAAUCCCCGUCCUGGGGAUUAUUUGCUCAAUAAGGCCCCAAGUACGGAGGGGAUUGCCUCAAAGAGGAGUCUUGAGCUCAAGAAGAGGUACUUGCUGGGUGAAUCAGGGAGUACGGGACUCAUGAAGUCUGGCUCGACGUCUGUUCUCGAUUCAACAUUCAAGAAUUUCCAUUCAAACAUUUCACAAUGUCAGAAAUUGCUCAAUCGCGGUGGGGCGGAUAUUAGUCCAACAAUGCAAAUGUUCCUUAAGCAGCAAACAAAUAGAUUGAGUGGGACAAAGGAGGAGAAGAAGGAGGUUGAAUCGAAUCUAAUUAAUGAAAAAAUCAAUGUUUAUGGGAUGAAUAAUAAUUUGAAGGAGAUUGCGGAGAAGAGAAUAGAUGAGGAGCAUGUGAUGCCAACGGAAACGAUAAAUACUGCCCUUGUGGAGAAUAAAUUGAAGGAUUUCAUAAGUUGUAGUAAGAGCAAUGAUCCAGCUGAUGUUCCAAUUAUUGAUCUCACAAAUGUUGAUCUCCCCGAAGAGAUGAUUAGGGCUAAUCAGGAAUUUAUUGAGAAGCUCGAAUGUAGUGAUGAUGUGGAGAAUAACAAGGUGAUAGAAGUUAUUGAUCUCACAAUUGAAGCGUCUCCUCCGGUGAAAUUUGAUUUGGGCGCGAGGUGUGAGAAGAGGGAUGAGCAAGUUGUCCCGGAAUCAAUUUCAUCGAUUAAGAGUAAAAUUGAGGCGGAUAAAUCGGCAAUUGAUUCCCUUCUACGGCAACGGGAUAUGUGUGAUGUGCAGGAGACGACAAUUCAGGUGCCCGUGCUGAAUUCGUGGGAACCAAAGAAGAAGCCAAGAUCCGAUUCGGACGUGGAAUCCGAUAGUUUGUCAAAUUCCUCGAGUACAUCGAGUUUAGAGGAGAUCCCUCAUUAUAUUCUCGACUCAACCACAAGUCCCGAUACGCAGAUUAAUGAGAGAUUCGUCCCACGGCUUGAGGUGCGGGAUACAACAGGGGAAUUGAUGCAGAUUGAUAGUUUAAUGAUUGUCGAUGGGAAGUACAUUGGGGAUCCGGAGGAUUUGCAAUUGCUGGAGAAAUUGCCCGAAAUUCCGGCAGCAAGUGCGGAGGUGUCGCAACCUUCGAGUGCAAAUGAAUGUGAUAUUAGUUGCAAUAGUGAGACAAAGAGGCAAAAUGACGUGGGUAGGGGUAUAAGUGAGGUGUUGCGGAGGAAUGAUUCAUUCAAAUUCGACGCACGCAAUAAGAGUAAGAUAGAAUCAUUGAAGCAUUUACCGUUGAAUCUGGAGACGAAAGAGUCACAGAGUGAUCUUGAGUCACCAAUUGUUGAUAGAGAUAAGACCCCAACGGCAAACCUGGCGCCGGGAUUUAUUGGGCAAUCAGACUCAGAGACAGAGAUUACGGGGCAAGUACUCACGGAGACUGAACUGUCCGACUGGACGGCUGAUGAUGCAGUUUCGGAGAAUUUUGUUGACAUUGAAUUUGCCCUGAAUUCCAAUAAGGGUACCAUUAAGAGGAAUAAGAAGGCAAAGAAGAAGGCUGUGCCACCGGAGCCACUUGUUCACCAUCAGCAAUUGAGUGACGGUGACCUGGAGACAAACAUAAUGAAGAGCUUUGACAUAGACAAUAUUGAAUUCAUGGAUACAGGGUCUGAUGGUUGCGUUGAAACAUACUCCACCACAAAUAAGGGUAUGCUGCGGAAUCGUGGCUAUGUGGAAUUUGUUGAUCAAAUUCCCGAACACGGAAACACCAAUCGAUACUGCCCCAGUUACCGCAGCGAUACUGGCUAUUCCAGUUCGUCGCGCAUAAAUUUAGGCUAUGCAAAACCCGAAUCGAGUUCUUCAAGAGAAAUCCCUGGGAUUGAUUACAUCGAACAGGGAGCUUGUGUGUUGUCAUCCUCAAGUGAGGGAGAGCUCAAGACUCCCGUAAACGAAGUCACAAAAUCCGUCUUUACGGAUACUUCGUCGUCUCAGGUUAUUAAGACUCAAGACUCUGAACAACAUUCCUCCAGUGUGAAUGAAAUUGAGGAUGAUAGUCUUGUUCUCAUUACCUCCCAAACGAAUACAACGGAAGACAGUGAAGCCCUAACUGUUGUAACGAGUCCCCUUGAUUCAGCUGACAAGAAUGCCGUUGAACAAUCCUUCGGGGAGGCUGUUAAGGCCAUUUCAAAGGAUGAAUAUCGCAACACCCCCGAAGAGAUGAGCUACGAAGACUACGUGCGGAAGCUACAGAUGAAGAUUUCGCAGAUUAGCAAUUCCCGGGAUUCAAUUGAUGUUAAAAAAUCCAAAAGGCGCUCAUCGAAGGGAGAAGGAGACGCCAGUGCGUCGGAGAUUCCUUCACCAACGAGCUUUACGCCAAAAUUGAGUAUUUUUGAUGAUAAGAUCAAAGAACCGCCCACGCUGACAAAGAAGCUGGAGGAGAUUACGAAGGAACGAGCAAAGCAGAAGGAUCUCAUUCAUGAUCUCGUGAUGGAUAAGUUGCAGACAAAGAAGCAAUUGAAUGCCGAGAAGAGACUCAAUCGUAGUCGAACACGUCAAAUGGGUUGUACAAGUGGGAGUUUGGCACUGUCAGGACUCAAAUCCUUCGAUAUACCGCACUGUCAUCCAGUUCCGGGUGAGAAGCGCACAACACCAUCCAAAGUAUUUGAACCACUUCAGUCACCGAGUAAAGUUCUCGAGACGGCAAUUUCGUCGGCGGAGAAGCUAAAAGAUAGGCCACUCAGUGAGAAUGUUGACAGUAAAUUCGGCGCGGGGAUUGUUCUUCCUGUUUCACCGAAGAAGCUGACAAAGACUCAGUCCUUCUGUGGGUACAGCUCACGCUUGGUGUCGGCGGAAAAUGAUCUCAUUGCUGAGUCCUUCAAGACUCCCAUUCCACCACCACGCAGUGGAAGGAGGAUUGAUGAUAAAACUCUUGCUCAUUCGGACAAGUUGCGCCAAGAGGCACGAGCUAGGGCACGCUUGAUGUCCAAUGAGGAUUUGGGAUUGAGUCCCGAGGAGAAGAUGCAAAUGCUGCGGAAGCGCUACCAACUCGAUGCAGAUCUCGAUACACCCAACAAGUCUGACGAUGCCAAAGUGCGUGAACAGAAGUUGAUGGCAUCGAAGAGUGUGAGUGAUAUUUCCACGGCAAAUUCCUUUGUUGCAUUUGAUAAGAGCAUCGAUGGGAGUGAUGGGAAGAGCACCCCGCGGAAGUUCUUCAAGGGGGCAGAAUUUACGUCAGAUUCCAAUUUAGUCAGUGAUGUGGGGGUGGUGAAUGACAAAACGCCCAAUGGUGGGAAGAAGGAGAGCCCCAAACGGCUGAGUGAUAGGCGAUCCAGGAGUAAGGAUCCAGAGCGCAGGAAAAGUAUUAUACAGACAGUAUCGGACUUUUUUCACAAGAAAAAGGACUCGAAGGAUGCCAUCAAUCAAAUCAACAAAGACAAAGCCGAUGGGGUGUUUGGUCUCUUCAAGUUAUCAUCGAAGCAUAAAGAGAAAUCAAAGUCGUGCUUUGAUGUACGAGAAUUAAUGAUUUUUUGUGAAAAGGAGAAUUCCCCAUCGUAUUCGGAAAGAAGUAAAUCAGAGGAUUGCCUAAAGGCUGACUGGAGGAAUCGAAGGAGCGAAGAUGAACUCACACCACCCCCAAUACCGCCUUUACCGCUGAAUUAUCAACGAUCUGACGAUGAGAGUACGUCAGUUGCGGAGAAUCGCGAAUUAAAACGCCUCAAGGCGGUGUCCAAAGCAUCACGUCAGGCUGAAUUGAAGAGAUUGCGGAUUGCGCAGGAAAUUCAGCGAGAGCAGGAGGAGAUAGAAGUACAAAUAAAGGAAUUAGAGGCACGUGGUGUCAUCAUUGAGAAAGUACUUCGAGGCGAAGGAUCCUUUGGGGAAUACUUCAAUGCCAACGAUCCCAAUGGGUCCAGUGAUGAGAAAUAUCUUAAGGAAUUGCUAGAAAUAUGGCGAAAAAUAACGCAAUUGAAAAAACGUGAUCAAGAAUUAGGAAUUAGAGAACAAGAACUGAAAUUGGAGCAUCGUCAUGCUCAGCUGAAGGAGCAACUCAAUAUGCGGCUGUCAUGUAGCAAAUUGGACAAAAGCUCAGCCGAUGUGGCGGCAGAGGGGGCAAUUUUGAAUGAAAUGCUCGAAAUUGUGGCCAAACGGGCUGCCCUUCGGCCAACGGAUGGGCUACCGACAGCCGAUGAAGUAAGUCCUGAAGAUGAGAUUGUUGUCGCACCCACCCUCAAAUGGGGGCCAGUUCUUGUUGUCUUUAGUCUCCUCUAUGCAUGCAUUCUUUGGUUUGCUUACAGUAGAUGUUAGUUUUUAAUGAUUCCCCCUUAAAGGCACGCAGUGAUGUUUUUUUUUAAUAAAAAAAAAUAAAUGGAGAAUGGAGAAAUUUUGUGAUGAAGAUAUGAUUUGACCGUGACAAAUAGAAUGGAUUUUUUUCAUGAAAUACAGAAAAUAAUAAUUUAUUCACAUGAGACAUGUUUGGGGACGAUGAAUUUUAAAAGAAAAAAGAAGACAUAUAGCGCGAGAAUAUUCUAAGUUUUAAAAUAAGAAUUUUUCAAAAAAAAACCUCUUUUAAACAACAGAAAAACAUUGUAUUUGUAACUUUUAAUUUUAAUUCUAUAAGAAGCCUACCAAAAAAAAUGAGAAACGUCACAAGAAAAGUUAAUAUAUUAAAAAAAAAGAGAAGAAAUAAUGCAUAGAAAAAGAUUCUCAAGUAGUUUCUUUCAAAAUAAAGAGUGAUAAAAAAGUGAAAUUCCCAGUUUUGAGCACAAUGUUAAAUAAUUAAUUAUAUUUCAGACUCUAUCCCCCCCCCCCUCUACUUUUAUUUUAAUUAAUUAAUUAAUUACAUUAAAAAGUGUAUAACAAAAAUAUAUUGGUUUUAUUAAAUCGCAAUAUACUGUA